GGGGCGCACCAGGCGCGAAAACUUUACAAUGCCGGCAACGGCGAUAAGGGAACCUCGAGUGCCAGGUUACAAAUCUGGCUGUCGUGAUGCCUAAAAAGCAUUGCAUAGCAAGGGCCGGGCAAGACCGGUGCCAGCCGCCGCGGUAACACCGGCGGCUCGAGUGGUAACCGUUAUUAUUGGGUCUAAAGGGUCUGUAGCCGGCCGGGUAAGUCUCUUGGGAAAUCUGGCAGCUUAACUGUCAGGCUUUCAGGAGAUACUGCCUGGCUCGAGGCCGGGAGAGGUGAGAGGUACUUCAGGGGUAGGGGUGAAAUCUUGUAAUCCUUGAAGGACCACCAGUGGCGAAGGCGUCUCACCAGAACGGACCUGACGGCAAGGGACGAAAGCUAGGGGCACGAACCGGAUUAGAUACCCGGGUAGUCCUAGCCGUAAACGAUACUCGCUAGGUGUCGGCCACGGUGCGACCGUGGUCGGUGCCGUAGGGAAGCCGUGAAGCGAGCCACCUGGGAAGUACGGCCGCAAGGCUGAAACUUAAAGGAAUUGGCGGGGGAGCACAAGGGCGAAUG
rnacentral:rRNA from 1 species